rnacentral:rRNA from 1 species
UACGUAGGGUGCGAGCGUUAAUCGGAAUUACUGGGCGUAAAGCGUGCGCAGGCGGUUUUGUAAGCCAGAUGUGAAAUCCCCCGGGCUCAACCUGGGAAUGGCGAUGAAGACUGCAAGGCUAGAAUCUGGCAGAGGGGGGUAGAAUUCCACGUGUAGCAGUGAAAUGCGUAGAGAUGUGGAGGAACACCGAUGGCGAAGGCAGCCCCCUGGGUCAAGAUUGACGCUCAUGCACGAAAGCGUGGGAGCAACAGG